GGUGGCCAUCAGUGGCAAUCUGGGCUUUAUGCUUUCUGUUCAAGUAAGAGAGGAGCUCGUCUCCCAAACGUGGGAUGAAAAUCCUUCCUGUCAGUCUUACUGGAGCAGCUUAUCACCUCAUGACCAAUGGCUGUCCCCAGACAGUUUGGGGCACUUGUGGAGCCAGAAAGCCGGUCUUCCUGUUCCUGGCUAGAACCCUCUUCUGCUAUAGUGAUGGAACAGUGGUCUUCAGAAACAAUGCCCGUCAUCUCCACUUCUGUGAACAUGUCCUGUACGGACAUCCCCCAAGAGGGUCCUGUGGAUUCGAUGCCACUCUGUUGAGGACACCACUGGCUCUAGUCCUGAUCCAGAGACUUGGAUGGGGAAGACUGCACGUGACAGAGGAGGAGAGAAGGGCACUUUCAGCAAAGCUGUGCCUGUGUCAGGCCACUCUCCCAGUGCCUCUGACGCUCUGGAAACAGCUGUUGGAGAAGUCAGGUAGGUCCUAG
rnacentral:lncRNA from 1 species